AGCAAGACCGUGAGGUGGAGGCAAAACUCAAAAACUUAGUCUCAGUUCGGAUUGUAGGCUGAAACUCGCCUACAUGAAGCUGGAGUUGCUAGUAAUCGCGAAUCAGCAUGUCGCGGUGAAUACGUUCCCGGGCCUUGUACACACCGCCCGUCACACCAUGAGAGUUGGCAAUACCCAACGUACGUGAUCUAACCCGCAAGGGAGGAAGCGUCCUAAGGUAGGGUCAGCGAUUGGGGUGAAGUCGUAACAAGGUACC
rnacentral:rRNA from 1 species